CCGACUCUAGCUCAGUUGGAAGAGCAUCAGACUGUAAUUGGAAACCCUCCUCGCAACAUUGGGUGUUACCCGUUCGAUCCGGGUGAGUCGGA